GCCUCGGUGGUGUAAUGGAAUGCACGGCAGACCGGGUAUCUGUAGGUGCGGGUACGAGUCCUGCCUGAGAUC
rnacentral:tRNA from 1 species